ACUCAUCCAGCAUCAGCAUCCGUCCUCGGAGACACUUUGAGGAUGUGACAGCAGCUGUGGAAGAGCUCAGAGAUGGACUCCAGGACGUUCUGAGGGACGCAUGGACAAACAUCUCACUGGCCAUCACUCACGUGGAUGUUCUACUGUCAGAACCAGAACCAGAACCAACGACCAGAGAUGGAUUCUUAAGAUAUUCACGAGAAAUCAGUCUGGAUCCAAACGCAGCCCACAGAGAGCUGUUAUUAUCUGAUGGAGACAGAAACCUGGCAUCAGUCUGAUCCUGAUCAUCCAGACAGAUUCAUUUACUGGGUCCAGGUUCUGAGCAGAGAGAGUCUGACUGGACGUUGUCCCUGGGAAGUGGAGUGGAGAGGAGGAGGAGUUGUUCUAGUAUUCUCAUACAAGAACAUCAGCAGAGCAGGGGAUGAUCAGCUGUUCUGUCCUUCUCCAGUGUCUCUGGAACCAUGACUCUCCUCCAGAGUCCAGACCUCCUGCAUGCUGAACUCUGGGUCUGGAUGUCUGGACACACUGCUGAGCUGUGUCAACUGAAACAGACCAGAAGAGUCUCACAGGGGACGAGUGUCUGAUCUUCAUGGUUCAGCAGACAGAACCACUGAUUUGUCAGAUCACAGAUCAGCUUCAUAGCUACGUGUUCCUCUGAUGUUCUGGUGCAACGUGUCGCUCUGCUGUAGAGACCAUGUGAAAAUACUGCACGAGACACAGUUUAAGAAGUUCUGACAUUAAAAAAGUCGAUGAUCUGAGGUUGGACAGAUGUGCAGUCCCCUGAAGCUGCUGCCUUUCCUGUGACGUCGCUGUCUUCUAUCUGUACUGACGCUUCACAGCUGCAAUCGGCCAGAACUUCUCCACAUAACUGAGAUGUAGACUUCAAUGAAAACCCGUAGAAAUGUGAUUAUGAUGGCAGAGGGAGACGUGUGCUUCACCUCACACAGGUCUGACCAACGGAUGGUGCAGAUGUGGAGAUAAAGGUUAAACAAGCUGAGUGAAGGCUUCAGUAUGUGUUCAGUAUUCAGCUGAAAGUGUAAAAUGAAGGUUCUUCUUUUCAGGACUGUGACAAACCGCUGUGUCAUUCUGUCAGUCUUGCUGCCUGUUUUGUUAACAUAUAUAUAUAUAUAUAUACAUCUUUACUGCUAAAUCAGUGUGAGAGAAAGUAGAAAAUGUGAACAUUUGACAUGUGCUGCUGGGUUAAAAUCUGCUUGAGGUGUUUCUGUUCUGUUUUUUUUUUUUGCAGUGGAUUUAUCACCACUGCGUGGAGUUUGCAUCCUUCGCAUCAGGUGACGUACUACUUCCUGUUUGUCUCUGUAGCUCACUGCUCGUGCUGGUUCUGUUCACCGCUCCUCUUUCCCAGCGUUUAUUAAAUCUCCACACACCCUUUAAA